rnacentral:rRNA from 1 species
AUUGAACGCUGGCGGCAGGCCUAACACAUGCAAGUCGAACGGUAACAGGAAGAAGCUUGCUUCUUUGCUGACGAGUGGCGGACGGGUGAGUAAUGUCUGGGAAACUGCCUGAUGGAGGGGGAUAACUACUGGAAACGGUAGCUAAUACCGCAUAACGUCGCAAGACCAAAGAGGGGGACCUUCGGGCCUCUUGCCAUCGGAUGUGCCCAGAUGGGAUUAGCUAGUAGGUGGGGUAACGGCUCACCUAGGCGACGAUCCCUAGCUGGUCUGAGAGGAUGACCAGCCACCCUGGAACUGAGACACGGUCCAGACUCCUACGGGAGGCAGCAGUGGGGAAUAUUGCACAAUGGGCGCAAGCCUGAUGCAGCCAUGCCGCGUGUAUGAAGAAGGCCUUCGGGUUGUAAAGUACUUUCAGCGGGGAGGAAGGGAGUAAAGUUAAUACCUUUGCUCAUUGACGUUACCCGCAGAAGAAGCACCGGCUAACUCCGUG